GUCUACGGUCAUACCACCCUUAAUGCGCCCUAUCUCGUCUGAUCUCGGAAGCUAAGCAGGGUCGGGCCUGGUUAGUACUUGGAUGGGAGACAAUGCCUGCCUGACC
rnacentral:rRNA from 1 species